ACUCUCCCCUAUAUCUCUAGUCUAUGUAGAAUAAAGAAACAAACGGCAAUACGCACAGUAAAACUCAGUUUGAAAGAAGUCCCAGUCCGAUGUCAGUAUAGGUGAUAAAAGAAACUAAACAAAAUGACAAUAAUACAGAAAUAAACAAAGGACUACUAUCAAUUACGGAUAUGCCAGGCCCAGACAUCAAUUAAAAUGAUCGAAAGAUUAUCAUAUACAAAUCAAGCGCAAUCCUUCCCGUAAGGGGUUUAGUAUCAUGUCAUCAUAAAAUAUAUAAGAAGAACAUAACCCGUGGCAUGCCAACAACUAGUUUUAGAAUAAAUAUGAUUAU
rnacentral:lncRNA from 1 species